rfam:Bordetella sp. H567, complete genome.
GGGUCGUUAGCUCAGUUGGUAGAGCAGCGGACUUUUAAUCCGUUGGUCGCGCGUUCGAGUCGCGCACGACCCA